rnacentral:rRNA from 1 species
UGCAAGUCGAGGGGCAGCAUAAAGUACUUGUACUUUGAUGGCGACCGGCGAACGGGUGCGUAACGCGUAUGCAACUUACCUUUUACUAGAGAAUAGCCAAGAGAAAUUUUGAUUAAUGCUCUAUACUCUUUUUAACUCACAUGAGAUUUUAAGAAAAGCUCCGGCGGUAAAAGAUGGGCAUGCGUCCUAUUAGCUUGUAGGUGAGGUAACGGCUCACCUAAGCUCCGAUAGGUAGGGGUCCUGAGAGGGAGAUCCCCCACACUGGUACUGAGACACGGACCAGACUUCUACGGAAGGCAGCAGUAAGGAAUAUUGGACAAUGGAGGAAACUCUGAUCCAGCGAUGCCGCGUGAAGGAAGACGGCCCUAUGGGUUGUAAACCUCUUUUAUACAGGAAGAAACCUUUCCACGUGUGGAAAGCUGACGGUACUGUAAGAAUAAGGAUCGGCUAACUCCGUGCCAGCAGCCGCGGUAAUACGGAGGAUCCAAGCGUUAUCCGGAAUUAUUGGGUUUAAAGGGUCCGCAGGCUGUUUGUUAAGUCAGGGGUGAAAUCCUACCGCUCAACGGUAGAACUGCCUUUGAUACUGGCAAACUUGAGUUAUUGUGAAGUAGUUAGAAUGUGUAGUGUAGCGGCGAAAUGCAUAGAUAUUACACAGAAUACCAAUUGCGAAGGCAGAUUACUAACAAUUAACUGACGCUGAGGGACGAAAGCGUGGGUAGCGAACAGGAUUAGAUACCCUGGUAGUCCACGCCGUAAACGAUGGUCACUAGCUGUUCGAUGUACAUUGGUACAUUGAGUGGCUAAGCGAAAGUGAUAAGUGACCCACCUGGGGAGUACGCUCGC